GAAAAUUGGUUAUUGAAUUAAUUGAAUCAAAACAAAAGUCAAACCAAAAGUCAAACAACAAGACUAGGUUAGAAAUAAAUCAAAAAUAAAUUGAAAAUGGGAAAUAAAAAUUCAAUAGAAGGUCAAGUUGACCAUGAGACAUUGGUCAACCAUCAUCCCAAAAGUCAGAAGUUAAAAAUGAUUCUAAGUCAUGAGAAUAAAAUUAAUGAAAAAAAGUGUGUUAAAAUGGCCUAUUUGAAACAAAUAAUCAAAAUAAAAUAUUAACAUAAAAUAAAACGAAAAUAAAAAUUAAAAUAAAUUAAAUAAGACAAUAAGGAAAAUAAAAAAUAUUUUUUUAUAUUUUUAUGAAUAAAUAAAAUAUUUUAAAAUAAUUAAAAUCUAAACAGAAAAUAAUAUG
rnacentral:lncRNA from 1 species